GAUGAACGCUGGCGGCGUGCCUAAUACAUGCAAGUCGAGCGAACAGACGAGGAGCUUGCUCCUCUGACGUUAGCGGCGGACGGGUGAGUAACACGUGGAUAACCUACCUAUAAGACUGGGAUAACUUCGGGAAACCGGCGCUAAUACCGGAUAAUAUAUUGAACCGCAUGGUUCAAUAGUGAAAUACGGUUGUUCUGUCACUUAUAGAUGGAUCCGCGCCGCAUUAGCUAGUUGGUAAGGUAACGGCUUACCAAGGCAACGAUGCGUAGCCGACCUGAGAGGGUGAUCGGCCACACUGGAACUGAGACACGGUCCAGACUCCUACGGGAGGCAGCAGUAGGGAAUCUUCCGCAAUGGGCGAAAGCCUGACGGAGCAACGCCGCGUGAGUGAUGAAGGUCUUCGGAUCGUAAAACUCUGUUAUUAGGGAAGAACAAAUGUGUAAGUAACUAUGCACGUCUUGACGGUACCUAAUCAGAAAGCCACGGCUAACUACGUG
rnacentral:rRNA from 1 species